UUAUAAUUCAAAUUGAUUUAUUAAUAAAAAUCAAUAAACAAACAAAAUCUGUUGAACAAAACUAAACCGAAAUUUUAAAAAACUAAGUAAACCAGACCCGGUUUGAUAAUCUAAACAUGAAACAACUUAACCUAAAAAAAAAUUAACCCUGCAUCUAAAGUAAAACUCAUCGCCGUCAAUUUCUUCUUCUUCUGCCUCAUCGGCUUUGAAUAGCCACCGUCAAACCUCACCAUUGUCUCUCCUAUUCCACCACCAUCAAGCUUUCUCAUCUGUCAUGACUGCUCAUGACCACCUUUCUCUUUUUCUUCUUGCUCAGCUCCAUCUCUACCACCACCGCUACCUUAUCUGUCAUCUCCACACCACAUCUUGUUCCUGCAAAAACCCAAACAUGUUAAGUGUGAAGGAAUAUAAUAAACACUAAAUAAAUCAGUUCACUCCCAUUCGUACUAACCCUAUUCGAUUUAAAGACAAAAACUUUCAAUUAGAUUAAGAAGAAGAAAAAGGAACGAACUUGCAGAAUGAGGCUUCAAGCCAGAGUAAAUCUUGAUGCUACAGCUACAAAAAAAAAACAUAUAAACAAUCAGAUGCAAGUGUGUAUGUGUGUGUGUAGAAUUAGAGACAUAAGCAUGUAAGAUUUCAGAGAAUCUAAGAUUAACACGGACUCAGAGAAGAUUGGUGAAGAGUUGUGUUAAAAGAGACCACCAUUGUCGACAUCGAGACCGCCACCAUCAAGCUUCUUCAGCCUCCUCCAACUUCUUUAACUAAGAACCCAAAAAACAAAACCAGAAUCAGAGAGAGAGGAAACAGAGAGACAGAGAAGAGAGGCGUUAGAC
rnacentral:lncRNA from 1 species